rnacentral:rRNA from 1 species
CAUGCAGGCGGUUUAUCAAGUAGGAUGUGAAAGCCCCGGGCUCAACCUGGGAAUUGCAUUCUAAACUGAUAGACUAGAGUAUUGCAGGGGGAGACGGAAUUCCAGGUGUAGCGGUGGAAUGCGUAGAUAUCUGGAAGAACACCAAAGGCGAAGGCAGUCUCCUGGGCAAAUACUGACGCUCAUAUGCGAAAGCGUGGGUAGUAAACA